GGGGGCCGGAGGCCGGACCCGGAACACCAGCGUCCCGGAGCGCUUCCAGUAAAGGAACCAGGACGUUGUCGGAAGAGCCCAAGACUUCCCUGGGAAUGAAAAAUUAGUUCCUACAUCUGAGGGGAGAUAAAUGACAAGGAGCAAGCCAUGUAUCAUGGUGUAAUCCUGUUCUAGCCAGUUACUCAGCAAAAGGGAAGGGUGUCUGCAAGACAGGGCAAGAGACAGAAGCAGCAAAAAUACCUGGAAAGCAAACCAUCAGCAGAACCUAAGUGUCAGACACUGGUCAAAUAAACACUGGCACUGUGCACUAGACAGUCCAGAGAAAGCACUUCUUGGGCCAAUGACUGUGGCUGAAAGGAGUGGAAAACUAUGACUGAAAAACCUGUUUCCCCUACUGUGUCAAUCAUUUUCUAGUCACAAAAACAGAGCUUGGUACAUUGCAUAAGUACA